UACGGGGGGGGCAAGCGUUGUUCGGAAUUACUGGGCGUAAAGGGCUCGUAGGCGGCCAACUAAGUCAGACGUGAAAUCCCUCGGCUUAACCGGGGAACUGCGUCUGAUACUGGAUGGCUGGAGUUUGGGAGAGGGAUGCGGAAUUCCAGGUGUAGCGGUGAAAUGCGUAGAUAUCUGGAGGAACACCGGUGGCGAAGGCGGCAUCCUGGACUGCACCUGACGCUGACACGCGAAAGCUAGGGGAGCGAACGGG
rnacentral:rRNA from 1 species